GGGGAUGUAGCUCAGUGGUAGAGCAUUUGCUCAGCAUGCACAAAGUCCUGGGUUCAAUCCCUAGCACCACUA
rnacentral:tRNA from 1 species